rnacentral:rRNA from 1 species
GUAGGGAGGCAGCGUUGUUCGGAUUUACUGGGCGUAAAGGGCGCGUAGGCGGCGUGUUAAGUCAGCUGUGAAAUCUCCGAGCUUAACUCGGAACGGUCAGCUGAUACUGAUGUGCUAGAGUGCAGAAGGGGCAAUCGGAAUUCUUGGUGUAGCGGUGAAAUGCGUAGAUAUCAAGAGGAACACCUGAGGUGAAGACGGGUUCCGGGCUGACACUGACGCUGAUGCGCGAAAGCCAGGGGAGCAAACGGGAUUAGAUACCCCGGUAGUCCUGGCCCUAAACGAUGAAUACUUGGUGUCUGGAGUUAUUAUUGCUCCGCGUGCCGUAGCUAACGCUUUUAGCAUUCCGCCUGGGGAGUACGCUCGCAAGGGUG